rnacentral:misc_RNA from 1 species
GAGAAAGGUCAAAGAAGCAGCAGCCUGUACGGUCCUUUUACUCUUUUCCUUCUCGCUCGUUUCCUCUUCCAUAUUCUCGGCUGGACUUCAUAGAAACCCUAACGCAGAGACAUACGAUUAGAACUUUAGGAUUUGGGCUUUCAGCGAAGAAACCUAAAUAGGAAAUGGAUAUCACCGAGAAGAAGGAAACAGAAAACAGCACAAACAUUAACAACGAUAAUAACAAUAAUAAUGCUCAAACGGCAGCUGAUUCAGCAUCACUUGAGAAUAUCGAUAAAGAAGCCGAAGAACGCCANAGCACGUGACCUCAAAGCUGGUUUGCAUCCUCUUAAGCACAAGUUUGUAUUUUGGUACACUCGCCGAACACCAGGAGUUCGAACACAAACAUCAUAUGAGGACAAUAUUAAGAAAAUCAUGGAGUUUGGUACAGUUGAAGGCUUUUGGGUCUGCUAUUGCCACUUGGCUCGACCUUCUUCUUUGCCUAGUCCCACUGAUUUGCAUCUUUUCAAGGAGGGAAUCCGUCCUUUAUGGGAGGAUUCUGCAAACUCCAAUGGUGGCAAGUGGAUAAUACGAUUCAAAAAGGUUGUCUCAGGUCGCUUUUGGGAGGACUUGGUGCUUGCCUUAGUGGGUGACCAACUUGAUUACAGUGAUAAUGUAUGUGGUGCAGUACUAAGCAUUCGUUUCAAUGAGGAUAUACUGAGUAUUUGGAAUCGUAAUGCAUCUGAUCAUCAGGCUGUGAUGGCUCUAAGAGAUUCAAUUAAAAGGCACUUAAAGCUUCCCCACGGCUAUGUUAUGGAAUACAAGCCCCAUGAUGCUUCUUUGCGUGACAACUCAUCAUAUAGAAACACAUGGUUGAGAGGGUAAAAAAUAUCCUGGAUUGUGAAGCUGGAUGAGCAGUUGAGGUGCAGAGACUCCUUUCUAGGUCCCUGCUUCUUAUUUAUAGUUCAUUCCCUGAUCAAGCAAUCCUUUAUCUCAAGUUUUCAACUUAACAGCCUGUGUGCUUGACUUGAUAUCCUGUAGGUUUUAAUUAUACUGGCCGAAACAAAAUGUUGGUUUUAAUGAAAGACUGUUUUUGGCGUUGGAUGUUACAUUUGGUCACUAUGUUGCGUGUAUUGUUAGAUGCCAGAGUAAGCUUUGAUUAUAGAUAAAAUGUUUGUUAGAUCUUGGUGUAGAGGGGCUCUGCCUCUGAUCUAUCAUAAUCAAUACUGGGUUCACAUUCUUGGGACGUUCCAAGAAUGUGAACCCAGUAUUGAUUAUG